AAAAUUAUUGACUAACCAAAACGAGCUCAGGAACGAAGAGCUGAAAAGUAGGAGAAGAAAGAAGAAAUUUAAUCCCUCAUAAUGAGGCUGCGUUGCAUUGGCUGUAAAUGAAAUUGCUCUGCUUUUCCAAGUGGGAUACGUUACACUCCCAAGCACCUGAUCGGGGUUUUGGAGAGGUGACCUGAGCUACAUGGUGAUACAAGGACUUUUGGCAACAUUACAGAAGGACACUGUUGCUUCUAGGACACGUAAAAUUACUGUUGACGACACUUGCAUUUUCCAGCUGAGGAUCUCAGUAAAUACAGGGCUGAUCAGUUAUAAAUGAACCUCUUUGCUCAGAGAGAGGAAGAGAGCACAAGGAAAGAUGACAGUUAUUGAAGACUAUUCCGCAUGUAAAUACUGGUCUGCACACAGUUUAGAAGGAAGCUCCAGAAUAAACAGCACUAGUUUCCAGAUUCUGAAAGAUGCCAUAUGUCAGACUGAUGGGCUAGCUAAAGUAUAUGUUUCCUCCCCGCCAAAGAUGUGCAUAUCCUUCCAGGAAAAACUUACUCUUAAGCAGCAGGUAAGAAAUAUGGGUAACAAUAUUUAGGGAGGAAUAAGGACAUCAUUUAAUAUAUUUAAUCUUAUUAUACAUUUUUCUACAUUAAAGUCAACAGGCUGCAAAUAUAUUCUGCUACAAAGCUUUUUGUAAGAAAUAUCUCUAUAAGAAAAUACAUCUUGUUAAACAUUUCCUGUAAAUAAAUUAUCCCAAGUAACUAAGUUUUGUGAGAGGAAAAGGCAGGUAGGCUGAGGAUAGGAAGAGCUAAAAAUUGCUGAGAGCCCAUUUCUGCACCCCUUCCCCCCUAACCCGCUCAUGCUGGGUAUCAUUUACUUGCGUGCACGGUCAUGAUGAAGGCAAUGGAGCUCCUCUGCUGAGUACAUACUGCAUCAGCGUGAAUAACACUAGCAGAAUUGACUCCUGUUGUUGUUUUUUUUUUUUUUUUUUUAAAGUAUCUUGAGUUAUGCUAUUUCUGAGCCUUAUUCCAAUUUCAGUUACACAGGAAAAGCUGCUCUGAAAUAACCAGAGUAGCACUGAUAGGACUGUGAGAUGAAAGUCUGACUGCGACUGUUAAAGAACAGAGGACCCUGUCUGAGCCGUCCAUUUAGAACAAUAAAAUCUAACUCCAGUGGGGAAAAAGGGUAAAAGCCAGUGUAGCUCAGGCCUGCGUUCUACUUAGGAAAUCUGAGUCAGGUGGUGUAUAUAACCUAUAGUUUUAAAACAACCACUGGUGGAGACAUAUAUCAGUGGAAAAAGGUGUAUGAGGUGUGGGUGACAUGGCCUUAAAACUACAUACUGCUGUACCUAGGUUGCUCGGAACUGAUUAAACAGAAAAGUCUCUUGCAUUACAAAACAUGAAAAUGGGUAAUUAUAGCUUAGCAGUAGGUCAGUUACAGAAUCAGACUUGUUUAAAGAAAUAUCAGUCUCUUUACCAAUGUCUAUAUAUAGGAAUACUUGCAAAUAAGUAAAGUGAAAAAGAAUUUUAAAGACCUGUGUGAGAAGUCGAAAGAUGGAGACUAUUUUUUUUUUUUUUCAAACCAGUACACAAACAAUGUAAAUUCAUUAGCUGUUUCCAAAGUCAAUUUAAUUCUGUCAUUCCUGGCUGAGUAGCCCAGUGUGAGAAGAGAUCGAGUUCAGGUUGCAUACAUGCUGGAGCUUGGUACACUGCGGUAUCACUUGAUACUUACACCAAGUCAUUUGUGAUCGUACCAUCUUCUUGCAUCCUUUUCUGUAGGAGAGGAGGUGCUCACAAGAGCCAGCACCUCUAAGAGACAAAUCCAUUUAUGCUUCUGUGAAGUGCAAUCAUAUUUAGCACUAUUAGCAAACACGCUAGCCCCUUGCUACUAUUAGAAGGCAAAACUUUUGCGUUUGUAACAGUACAGUCUGAACUUCCCAACAGGUACCCACAUCAUCUGUUAUAACAGCAACAGGGGUACGAUGUUAUAGCUCUUCAAGUACUUCAUCAACCCUCCAUUCUCUCUUUUGGAAAUAUCUAAAAUGCAAGCAUAUUUUGAAAAAGAAAGUAUAUUUAGGACUAAUGAGCAACUGCCUGUAUAUAAUUCUGGAUUCAGCAUGCACAUAUUUGCUUCAUCUCUUCAAGCCAAUGUAUGCUAGCAGUCAACCGAGACAAACAGAAGCGAUUAAGUGCCUUACUAUGACAUUGAACUACAUAAAGCAUUUCAAUUUACCUAUGUAUAGGAAAAAAAAACCCUGUUUAAAUGCUUCUGAUUAGAGAAACUGCUGCUCUCUUGAAAUCAGGAGGUGGCAACUUUUCACCUCUUCCAUGAGGGCCUGCAAAAUUUAGCACUCUUGUCCUGCAGGAGUGCCCUGAACAACAAGGGUGUGUGGACAUUCACAGUAACCUUAUUUCCAUCUCUCACACCUGCAAUGUGUAACCAACAAGGUGUUGACAGACAAGUCUUCCUGGCAAACACUGCUUCAUUUGGGAGUACAAUGUAGCAAUGUAUACAAUUUAUUUAGCAGUUAUUACCCUGCUGGAAACCCACUGUAGCCCUAACACUCAACCCCUGAAACAUCAUGGGACAACACAGCAAGGUAUGGCUGGAUAUUUCCACAGCGCCGCUGCUCAGUUACUUCUGCCCUCCGAAUAAGUGUCUCUGGAGAAUGAUUCCAUAGUGCAGCUGUUUGGAGAAACUUGAGUUCUGGGAAUAACAUAUCGGCAAAAGGAACAACGAUGAUGAUGACAACAAUAACAAGAAAAGGCAAGAACCAGAUUCUGCUGCGUGACUGGCCUAAAUCCAUAACCAGGACCACCGGCUUCUAGGGACAGUUUGUUCCAAAAAACACUACUUGUAUGAAUCAAGCUUCCACAGUUACUUUCUAUAUAAGCGUUGCCAUAAGUGGUAUUUCAAGGGAGGAAGACAUAUGUAUGCUUUCAUGCUUGAAAAGUGUACCACGUAUUCUGCAUGCACACCUCGAAACCUGUGCACAUAUUUACUGAUGAUACCAUUUUAAAAAUUCCUUCCCUUAUCUAGGUGUGUGUGCAUAAACAUAGAGCAGGGAUAUAACACAGGACAAUACUGCUGUAUGACAAACAAAAUAUAACGUGCAACUUCGUGAUUUGCAAAUAUUGUUAUAAUUAUACUUACAAUUUCUAUUGAGAGGCAGCAGCAAAACCUGUUACAGACAAGACCUGCACUCCUCUAAGCAAAGUAGAAUAGGACUUCCAGCAUAAAUGCCAGAAGGGUCCAAAUGUAGCUGUGUAGUGGAUUUGCAAAGAGCUGAAUGAGGCCCAAAGUCUUUUAGGAUAUGUCAACAAAUCAAAUUUAAAACACUGCUAUUCCAACAGAGGAUCUGUAUGUACUUAUAUACUGCACGUUGGUAUACCUGCCAUGUAAGAAUUGGGUUAAGUUGACAUAGUUAGGAAACUCUUCAUUUAAAUUUCAUUUGCUUCCCUCUUUUGAAAACAGCUUACUAUUUUCUUUUUUUCUUUUAUGGUCCACCAAAUUACAUGUGACCAAAUGUACCUAUUUAGUGAAAAUGGGUUCCAUUAGUAUGUAAUCUUAUCCUUGCAUUGUUUUCUUCUGAAGGAAAAUAAUGGAGAACAGGUGGUGAUGCUUAGCAUCAGGCUCCUGUUUCUAGAAUUACAAUCUACUGGGAGCCACCAGCAAUCUCUGAAAGCUGUCAUAAGCGCUCGGGAACUGGUAUGAUCCAGAGCACACUCAAUACAUUAAAGCUUCUUUUUGAAAAUUUAAGUAGGUGUGACAGGAGAAAACUGGCUGAAUGGCGCAGGGAUUCUAAAGUGUCCCUGUAAAGGGUCGUGAUUUCCUUCUGCAUCCCACAAUAAAUAACUCAAGCUGGCCUCCACUUCCACAGCAGAAAUUAGACAUUUAAAAAAUUCAAAGAGGUACCAUAUGCACUAUAAACCUCUCUGGUUUAGUGUUCAAAUGCUGCUGCGUUCACGUUGCUGGAAAAUAUGGGAUUUAGAUUCUGCUAGAAGGACGUUUAAAAAAAAAAUCCUUUACGCUUAUUUAUCCUUUUCUCAGUGCCACAAAAACAACUAUGUAGAGUAGCAGUUCCUUGAUUUGAUUUUAACAUCUAUUGAUGUCACACUGCACAAAUAGAUUUAUCCUGUUGGUCACAACACUGCAUGAUAACUGGACAUUUCUUUGUUUUAUCAAUCUUAUCCCUUAUCUUACCAAGCAGGAAGAUGAUUAGGAAAAAUUCUACUUAAGCGAUGACUGCAUUUUCCAGUAUGCUCUCAUGUACUGAAUAUGUGCAAACAACACCAGCUAGACAGAUGUAGACAAGCAAAUAAGCAUUACAACCAUGUUUUAAAAUUUGUCUCCAAACCUCAGGAAUAAGACAAAGACAAUACACGUUUGCAGGGCAAUUUCAACUAACGUAUAAUUUUACAAAAAUGGUCAUUAAAGUCUGGCUGAGAUCCCUAAUUACUAUUCUGUGUCAGAUCUGCCAUGAUAAAUACUUUUUGUGGCACUGUAGUUGAAGAAUGAUAGGAAUUAAAAAAAGAUAACGCUAUUUGCAGGGCCAGAUUUUCUGUUGGUGGAAACUGGCAGCGUUGCAUCGAUUUCAACAGGAAUACGUCAAGUUACACCAAGUAGUUAGAUCGUACUUUGCAUUCCAGGCUUUUUGCAUAGCCAUCCAAGACCAGUGUCAUAUUUAUUUUUUCACCAUCAUUAUUUCUUUUGGGACACCUUAGUCAAAGUCAAAGUGGUCACUGAAAGUUGGAAUCAUUUGAAGCGAGGCCCACUUCAACAGGCUUUGGGCCGGGGUAUCUGUAUUUUAGCCAUCUCUAGUUCUCAUGUGUGUUAGCUUUACUCGAAAACAGCCUCUGAAGGAGCCAGUGUGCUGAGCUCCAAUUCUGUAGAAAUCAUAUUCUGAUUCAACAGUGCUCAGGAAAUUAUUUUCCUGCUUCUGUUUUUUCUCAAAGUCUUAAUGCAGAGAGAAUCCUCAGUUCUCCUUGUCAGGGGCUCUUCACUUGAAGCCCUGUGGCUAUGACAAAAGACAAUUACAGGGUGCCCAUUGUUUUGGAGAUACUACACAAGGAACUCCACCUUACAAAAGCAAGAAAAGCACGGCCAACAAAACUGGAAGAGAUGCCGAGAAACAAAAGUACUGGGGGAAGGAAGAGGUCAAAUAGUUUUUUCCACUUGGCUUUGAAAGGCAUCACGAUAUAACUACAAAGCUUUUCUCCUUAAACCUUUUUUUCCAGGAUAAAAAAAUUCAACUGCUGUCACAGCUCUCUUUAAUCUAAUAAGUGCUAUUUUCUGCUACAAAAAUUCUUAGUCCUAAUUAGUCUGUCUACUUGAAAUCAGGCUGCUGAAGCAAGUGAUUAUGUUAAAACGUCCCAUCCAGACCUACUCAGUCAGCUCCUAACUACAUUUAGAAACAGCUAGAUUCUGAAUUUUCUUAAUGGAGUAAAUAUUUCCUCACUUAGGACUCCUGUUACCAGGAUCCAACUAAAAUAACUGAAAAGCCUUCUAAAUUGUGCAUCAGCAGCAAAAUCGUUGAUCAAAGGACAAACACCGAAAUUUUGUUACUGGUGAUGAUGAGUGAUCCAGAAAACGUGCAUAGCUUAGUCCCAGGAAAGGUUUCAUCUCCAGCAGUUAGAAGCCUCAUCAUCGUCCUACUCAUGAACUAACUGAAUUUAUCCAUUGAGAAACGAUACACAUGAAAGCCCAUUAUGUCAUUUUCAAAGAAAACUGAUUCAGAAUAAUUUUACUUUAAUUCCAAAGUUCAAACUUAUCUUCAACAGAUAUUUAGAAAAUAAGAAGUAUUAUGCUUUUAUCAGUGAAUAAGAUUUAACAAUCAAAUUUGGAAUCAUAGAACAAUUUAGGCUGGAAGAGAACUAGCUUCUAGAAGUCUUUUCUCCAACAAGAACUGAAGAUUUAGUGUCUUUAUCCAAACAUCUCAGGAAUAUGUUCUUUUAUGACACUUUUCCUUUUUCCUGGGAAUAGAAAUUGCAAAAACAAAGUUCCAAAGAGUACCAAAGACUAUUCAUAACAACUAGAAGCUAAAUUAUAACCGGCCUGUUUAGUCCACAUAUCACAGUUAGUAAUAGUGUAUGUGCACAUGUGCACGACUGUAGUUUUAAGUUAAAACUUAAGAUAAAACGUAAAAAACCAACCAACCAAGCAAAUAACAACAACAACAACAACAAAUACAGUUGCAAAAUAAGGCAAGUUAGUAUAGUGGAAAAGCCAUAGAUGUUCUCUAUAUAGUACCGUGCCUAGAAUUAUUUGUUCUCUAGCUAUAAUACUUAAAUGAUUUUACAGCUAGAAAUGCUUUAGUCACUUUUUGUAAAUCAUUUUCCACAGUCUGACUGAUCAUUUGCUAAGUCUAAUAGCAACACAGUCUAUUGCAACAUAAAUUCACCCUAGCCCGGAGCAUGAAGAUAUUAGAUUUAGCUCUUAAUAAAUUCCACAAACUUACAAAUAUUGUCUUGCUGAGAUUUUUUUUUUUUUUUAAUAUAUGUGCUAUAGAUUGAUAUUCCUUUGAAUUCAGAGGGCUUACACAGGUGGAACAAAAUCAAUGCAAUUCAGGGAGAAUGAGGUUUUCCAAGUUAUAAUAUUUUACAUUGAUUUUUAUUUUUAGUUUAAAAAAAAAAAAAACUUUAGAUACUAGCUUUCAAGUAUACAUGGCUGCUUGAAGAGAUGGCAGAGAUAUACCACUGCUUUUUAAUAGGAUAAUUAUCCGUUAGGUUUGUUUUUACAAAUGGAAAAAAACGCUGUACGCUUCUUUCUUUUCCUUAUAGUGGAAUAAAAUAUGAGGCAUAAUAAUAAUGAGUUCAGCUCCACGGCAGAAGCAAAUGCUUUUCCUCACGAAAGGAGACUAUCAAGGCAAUAACGGGGCACCUAACGAAGUAACAGCUAUAUUAGGACAAAAGAUAUGCAGGGAACAGAAUACUUGAUUUCUGUGAAAAUCUCGCUUUGUGCUCGACUUUUUGUUGCAAUCGGUGCAUAAUGAUUUCCCCAUGUUCCUUCAAAGAAACCUUCAAUUUCAAAAUGUUGUGUUGCCAAGCAAAGCGGUCCUGAAUUGCGUUGUUCUGAACUAGCUCAGAGACCCUACGUUAACAUAUACAUAUUAUAAGAAGGGGAGUUCACGGUGCCAUGAUUUCAACAGUCCGCUGAUAAACAAACUGUUUACUUUUUGCCUGGACUGCAUUUUUCCAUGUGCAGAUCAUUGUAUAUCACCUUGUGGCAACACAGUUUGUAAACAAACUGCACUGCCCUACAUUUGACACUGCUGUUCACCCUUCUCAGUUUGCAAAAUCUGGAUCCAAUUUUCAAAUGAAAGACCAUUUGCUGAACAUUUAUUUUUACUGUGGAAUUACUUUACCCAUGUUUGGUGAAUAGGCUCUUUUCAACUUCGGAGGUUAUUUAUUUAUGUUUUUAUUCUCUUCAAAAUGUUGGUGGAAAAUGUUUGUCUGCCAGGGGGGCACCACAUGCUUCUGAUCUGACUGAUUUCUACUGCUGAAAAAGCACCCGGUCAGCAAGUAUGCCUGUCUUGCAAAUACAAACACCAGGAUAAAUGAUCUUAAGUAUCUAAAUGAACUGGGAAUCACUGCUCCAGUUUCAAAAGCCUCAGAUGAGUUGAGUUCCCAACUAAUUCAGAGUCCGGGGAACUGAGAUUUCUCUACGCUUAAGAUUUACUAGCGUGAACAAUAUAGUAUCACGAAGACAGAUGAGCUAGAACUAACCAUGCCAGCAUGAAAGCCGAGAAGGACGGAAAAAGAACGCAGGAGUAACCUGCUGCUAAAAGAGCAAAUGCAGGUCCGCAAAGCAAAUAUUUUUCCUAUCUGCAAUAAAUUGUAAUAUAGGAGAAAGCUUCUGCUUAGAAUCUGUAAAAACUGAAUAUUACACGUUUUUUUCAUUGAAGGAUUAAAAAGAAAAAAAAAUGGAGCAAGGCCCAGUGAAAUCUUGCAGUUUCCAUUACAUUUUUUUUCCUGUUUCUUCUUAAGAACUUUGGGCACUCAUUAAGUUCUGAUUUUUCCAGGAAUACUGGAACCAGAAUAUUCUGUCAAAAAACAGAGUUCCAAAAGUGGAAAAAAUGUUAGGUUUGGAUCUUUUAAAACCAAACAUCUCCAAGGCAAGUUUAGAAAAACUACUGUUUAGAGGAAUAUCUAUUUCAAAAGUAUCAUUGUCAACCAGUGCACUUCCUAUUAAACUUUAUGACAUUUAACACCAUUCUGUGUUAAUUUCAUCUGGGUCUUCCUUCUCUGAAAAUACUGUUUCCCAUUGUGUAAAUUUUUGGAUUGGUCAUCUGUGUAAUCAUCCUCCAAAUAUUUCAGCUCCUGAAAAUAUCAUUUAUCUCAGAGAAGAGCAUUUCCAUAUAAUGGGGAAAUUCAGGUUGUAUACCAUGACUGGUUUUUGGAAUCAGUGCCACAGAAACUUACUAUAACUGAGCACUCAGUAGACUAAGCAUUAGUCUAAAAAAGAUGAGCUUCCACUAAUAGGUGGAUCAAGUGGCCCAUUUACACUUUUGAACGAGAUGGUCCCCUGUUGGAUACGGCCCUUAGAGCAAGCUCCAAUGCGUUCAGUUUAACUUACAGCCACAUAUGAACGGACCUUCUUAGAAGGACAA